CAGCAGGGUAAAGGUUAGCCACUCCAGGGAAGACCUGCCCAACUUGGCCCCAGGUUCUGGCCACUGGGCAGGUUCUCUUCUAGCCCUACUGGGAAGACUCCCCUUCUCCAAGACCCCUGGCAGACCCUGCAAUCUCCACACCCUGCCCCCAAGCCCAUCUGCCCUAGACCCCAGCCACUUUCUGAGACAUAGAGACCAGC